ACACGGGCACCUGCUGGCGCUGGAAAUCUUCUACCGCGCGGGCGGGCUGGCGCGCGUGUGCCCGAUUCUGGACGAGCGCCUGAUGCUGCACGCAUCCGCGUCCGAAAGCACCGGCUGGGAGCGCACGGACGGGCUGGCGGACGAGCUGCUCGCGCGCUAUCCCGUGAAGGCGGGCGACGUGCUGAUCGCCAUUUCCAAUUCCGGCCGCAACACCGUGCCGGUGGAGCUGGCGAUGAAGUGCCGGACGCGCGGCGCGUGGAGGAAGAAGGUCUUCGGAUUGUAAACUCCUGUUGUUGAGGAAGAUAAUGACGGUACUCAACAAGGAAGUGACGGCUAACUACGUGCCAGCAGCCGCGGUAAAACGUAGGUCACAAGCGUUGUCCGGAAUUACUGGGUGUAAAGGGAGCGCAGGCGGGAAGACAAGUUGGAAGUGAAAUCCAUGGGCUCAACCCAUGAACUGCUUUCAAAACUGUUUUUCUUGAGUAGUGCAGAGGUAGGCGGAAUUCCCGGUGUAGCGGUGGAAUGCGUAGAUAUCGGGAGGAACACCAGUGGCGAAGGCGGCCUACUGGGCACCAACUGACGCUGAGGCUCGAAAGUGUGGGUAGCAAACAGGAUUAGAUACCCUGGUAGUCCACACUGUAAACGAUGAUUACUAGGUGUUGGAGGAUUGACCCCUUCAGUGCCGCAGUUAACACAAUAAGUAAUCCACCUGGGGAGUACGACCGCAAGGUUGAAACUCAAAGGAAUUGACGGGGGCCCGCACAAGCAGUGGAGUAUGUGGUUUAAUUCGACGCAACGCGAAGAACCUUACCAAGUCUUGACAUCCUGCGACGAUGCUGGAAAUAGUAUUUUCCUUCGGGACGCAGAGACAGGUGGUGCAUGGUUGUCGUCAGCUCGUGUCGUGAGAUGUUGGGUUAAGU
rnacentral:rRNA from 1 species